rnacentral:rRNA from 1 species
GUGGGGAAUAUUGGACAAUGGGCGAAAGCCUGAUCCAGCCAUGCCGCGUGUGUGAAGAAGGUCUUCGGAUUGUAAAGCACUUUAAGUUGGGAGGAAGGGCAGUAAGUUAAUACCUUGCUGUUUUGACGUUACCGACAGAAUAAGCACCGGCUAACUUCGUGCCAGCAGCCGCGGUAAUACGAAGGGUGCAAGCGUUAAUCGGAAUUACUUGGCGUAAAGCGCGCGUAGGUGGUUUUGUAAGUUGGAGGUGAAAGCCCCGGGCUCAACCUGGGAACUGCCUCCAAAACUGCAUGACUAGAGUACGGUAGAGGGUAGUGGAAUUUCCUGUGUAGCGGUGAAAUGCGUAGAUAUAGGAAGGAACACCAGUGGCGAAGGCGACUACCUGGACUGAUACUGACACUGAGGUGCGAAAGCGUGGGGAGCAAACAGGAUUAGAUACCCGAGUAGUCC